rnacentral:rRNA from 1 species
UACGUAGGGUGCGAGCGUUGUCCGGAAUUAUUGGGGCGUAAAGAGCUUGUAGGCGGUUUGUCGCGUCUGCCGUGAAAAUCCGGGGCUCAACCCCGGACUUGCGGUGGGUACGGGCAGACUAGAGUGUGGUAGGGGAGACUGGAAUUCCUGGUGUAGCGGUGAAAUGCGCAGAUAUCAGGAGGAACACCGAUGGCGAAGGCGGGUCUCUGGGCAGUAACUGACGCUGAGGAGCGAAAGCGUGGGGAGCGAACAGG